rnacentral:tRNA from 1 species
CGCGGGGUAGAGCAGCUCGGUAGCUCGUUGGGCUCAUAACCCAAAGGUCAUAGGUUCAAAUCCUAUCCCCGCAACCA